AGUGAACGCUGGCGGUAGGCCUAACACAUGCAAGUCGAACGGCAGCACAGAGGAGCUUGCUCCUUGGGUGGCGAGUGGCGGACGGGUGAGGAAUACAUCGGAAUCUACUCUGUCGUGAGGGAUAACGUAGGGAAACUUACGCUAAUACCGCAUACGACCUACGGGUGAAAGCAGGGGAUCUUCGGACCUUGCGCGAUUGAAUGAGCCGAUGUUGGAUUAGCUAGUUGGCGGGGUAAAGGCCCACCAAGGCGACGAUCCGUAGCUGGUCUGAGAGGAUGAUCAGCCACACUGGAACUGAGACACGGUCCAGACUCCUACGGGAGGCAGCAGUGGGGAAUAUUGGACAAUGGGCGCAAGCCUGAUCCAGCCAUACCGCGUGGGUGAAGAAGGCCUUCGGGUUGUAAAGCCCUUUUGUUGGGAAAGAAAUCCAUCUGGUUAAUACCCGGAUGGGAUGACGGUACCCUAAGAAUAAGCACCGGCUAACUUCGUGCCAGCCGCCGCCGUAA
rnacentral:rRNA from 1 species